AUCCCCAUCGCGUCUUCUUCCUCCGAUCGCGCGUUCCCAAUUUCAGCAGUCUUCUUCUCCAGGGAAUCGCAGAGCUCCCUGGCGAGCGCCUCUUCUCUUGCCGCGCGGCCUGCUCCCUCUGCCUGCGUAUUUCUCUGCUCGCCAUGGAGUUUGCCGAGCUCUCCACCGCCCUGGUUUCUCUCUCCCUCCAUCUCUCUCUAGCGCCGCUUCUCUUCUCCAGGCCGCCGGCUUCUGCUCGUCGAGCUCCUGUGUGCUCAUCCCUCUGCUCGGGACGCGCCCUGCCGAGUCCCUCUCCAUCCCCAUGGCGCACUGCUCCUCUUCAUCCCCUAGCCGGUUCCCUGCGCGCGUGCUCCAGUCUCCUUCCAGUGCCGCGUCCCAGCCCCUCUGCUCCCUAGCGAACUCGCCCCAGCCCCCUGAGUCUCCAAGCUGUGGAGCUUCUUCCUCCCCUACGCAGAUCGUUCUUCCUCCGCUCGGUGCCCCCUCGGCUCGCCCCCAUGGUGCUGGUCGUGUCCCUCUGCGCCGGUCGCUUCUUCUUGCUCUUCCAUGCCGCGGCAAUCGCCCUGCUGCUCCAGCGCUCCCAGCCGAGCGGUUCUCUGCUCCUGCGCGCCGAACUCCUCUGUUGGCUGCGUCCUGCUCGCCUUCAGCCGUCCAUGGAGCUGCUCGCGCCCAGCUGUUUCUCUCCCUCCCUCUAUUUCUUCCUCGCUGCGCGCUGCGGUGCUCAGCUCUCCAGCGCCGGUGCCCAGCUCGCCAGGGCCGCGUGUGCUUCAGCGCCGCGCUCUGCUCGCGGAGUUCCUUCGCGACGUUCAUCUCCCUGCUCAGCUUAAUUACUGAUUUUGUAUAGAUUUGUCUGACAAUGCUGAGGUAUACAAAUCACUGCUCAUCUUAACAGGGCAAGCAUUGAACCAAAUUUCCAUGAUCUGUAUCUGAAGUUCUUUGAUAAAGUAAACUCAAAAUCCUUGAACAAGGAAAUACUGAAAGCCACAUAUGAGAACUGCAAGGUCUUGUUAAGAUCAGACCUUAUCAAAUCUAGUUCCGAGGAGCGCUACUUGCUAAAAAACCUAGGCAAUUGGUUGGGAAAGUUCACCAUUGGUAGGAAUCAGGCACUAAGGGCUAAGGAGAUUGAUCCAAAAUCUCUUAUCGUGGAGGCAUAUGAGAAAGGAUUGAUGAUUGCGGUCAUACCAUUCACUUCAAAGGUGUCCA